rnacentral:lncRNA from 1 species
UCGGGGCUGUGCAUGCCUGCUUCUGGAGUCAGGAUUAAUCUGCUGUUUUGUAGGUCAACUGAUGUCAAAUUUGUCAAAGGAGCUAUAUUAUUGUAGCUUAUUCCUUUUAUGCAGUUAAUAAAAGUCUAAAAGAUAUAUGUAGUUGAUGAAAAUCACAUGUAGUUACCGGACAACCCUGAAGAGAUCACUGCAAAAUGAUGCAAUAGCAAAAGAAAUUUUACAUUUCUGUG